AAACAAACAGAAAUAGAGAGAGAAAGGUAAGAGGAUUGAGAGAUAGAGAGGAGCAGGGAGCAAGAGAAGAAGCUGAGAGCUCGGAAAGCACACAGGAGAGGAAGAGCGGGUGAGUAGGGAAGAAAUAAGAAGAGGUUCGGGGAAGGUGGGAGCAAGGCCUGACAGUUAGUAUAUGUGAGGAACUAGGGAACCCAAUUUAGUUGCGGACAUCUUUAGGGACCGAGGAGACUGAAUUCCGGCAUUUGAAAGGCUUGAUUCGAUGGACUAUAUCUUGGAGUUAGACAAGCUUUCAAAUUACGUGGAGGAAUCACUUUUUGACAUCGGGGAUCAGCUCGAAGAAUUAGGUAGGAACCUUAGUUAUUGGAUAGAUAUUCUUUUUGUAUAGAAUGGAUUUGAAAAUGUUACGACCUGAAAAUUUUGUUUGGUUGUAUCACUGACGUGGGUGCGGAAAAGUAAUCUCCGGAGAUGUGUAUAUACAUAUUAGAGUUUGUUGGAUUGGUUAUAUACUUUGGAAAUUUAUUGGGAUGCAGGUUUUUACGUGAAUAGUUUUAUGU